rnacentral:rRNA from 1 species
UUCCGGUUGAUCCUGCCGGAGGCUACCGCUAUUGGAAUCCGAUUAAGCCAUGCGAGUCGAGAGAUUUCGGAUCUCGGCAGACGUCUCAGUAACACGCGGAUAAUCUGCCCUUGAGUGGAGGAUAAUCUCGGAAACCUGAGCAUAAUACUCCAUAGACCUAGGAUGCUGGAAUGCUUCUAGGUUCAAAGCUCCGGCGCUCAAGGAUGAGUCUGCGGCCUAUCAGGCAGUAGUGGGUGUAACGGACCCACUAACCUUUGACGGGUAUGGGCCUUGAGAGAGGUUGCCCAGAGUUGGACUCUGAGACACGAGUCCAGGCCCUACGGGGUGCAGCAGGCGCGAAAACUUCACAAUGUGGGAAACCGCGAUGAGGGGAUUCCAAGUGCCAGCACACUGUGUUGGCUGUUCACCUGCCUAAAAAGCUGGUGAAGUAAGGGCCGGGUAAGACGGGUGCCAGCCGCCGCGGUAAUACCCGCGGCCCGAGUGGUGGUCGUUAUUAUUGAGCCUAAAGCGUCCGUAGCCGGUUUGGUAAAUUUCUGGGUAAAUCGGGCAGCUUAACUGUCCGAAUUCCGGAAAGACUGCCAAACUUGGGACCGGGGGAGGUUGGAGGUACUCCUGGGGUAGGGGUGAAAUCCUGUAAUCCUGGGGGACCACCAGUGGCGAAGGCGUCCAACCAAAACGGAUCCGACGGUAAGGGACGAAGCCCUGGGGCGCAAACGGGAUUAGAUACCCCGGUAGUCCAGGGUGUAAACGCUGCACGCUUGGUGUUGGGGGUCCUACGAGGGCGCCCAGUGCCGGAGAGAAGUUGUUAAGCCUGCCGCUUGGGGAGUACGUCCGCAAGGAUGAAACUUAAAGGAAUUGGCGGGGGAGCACAGCAACGGUGGAGCGUGCGGUUCAUUGGAGUCAACGCCGGA